AUGUACCCACGUACACUCCGGUUCCUCCGCGCCGUCCGCAUCCACCUGACGACUGCUCGCGACGUUUUGUCAGCC
rnacentral:sRNA from 2 species